rnacentral:rRNA from 1 species
AUUGAACGCUGGCGGCAUGCCUUACACAUGCAAGUCGAACGGCAGCACGGGUGCUUGCACCUGGUGGCGAGUGGCGAACGGGUGAGUAAUACAUCGGAACAUGUCCUGUAGUGGGGGAUAGCCCGGCGAAAGCCGGAUUAAUACCGCAUACGAUCUACGGAUGAAAGCGGGGGACCUUCGGGCCUCGCGCUAUAGGGUUGGCCGAUGGCUGAUUGGCUAGUUGGUGGGGUAAAGGCCUACCAAGGCGACGAUCAGUAGCUGGUCUGAGAGGACGACCAGCCACACUGGGACUGAGACACGGCCCAGACUCCUACGGGAGGCAGCAGUGGGGAAUUUUGGACAAUGGGCGAAAGCCUGAUCCAGCAAUGCCGCGUGUGUGAAGAAGGCCUUCGGGUUGUAAAGCACUUUUGUCCGGAAAGAAAUCCUUGGACCUAAUACGGUCGGGGGAUGACGGUACCGGAAGAAUAAGCACCGGCUAACUACGUG